rnacentral:rRNA from 1 species
GCCCUAGUAACGGCGAGUGAAGCGGCAACAGCUCAAAUUUGAAAUCUGGCGCAAGCCCGAGUUGUAAUUUGUAGAGGAUGCUUCUGGGUAGCGGCCGUUCUAAGUUCCUUGGAACAGGACGUCAUAGAGGGUGAGAAUCCCGUAUGUGACCGGCGCGCACCCUCCACGUAGCUCCUUCGACGAGUCGAGUUGUUUGGGAAUGCAGCUCUAAAUGGGAGGUAAAUUUCUUCUAAAGCUAAAUACCGGCCAGAGACCGAUAGCGCACAAGUAGAGUGAUCGAAAGAUGAAAAGCACUUUGGAAAGAGAGUUAAAAAGCACGUGAAAUUGUUGAAAGGGAAGCGCUUGCAACCAGACUUCGCGGCGGUGUUCCGCCGGUCUUUUGACCGGUCUACUCGCCGCCGCGAGGCCAACAUCGUCUGGGGCCGCCGGAUAAGACCGUAGGAAUGUGGCUCCCUCGGGAGUGUUUAUAGCCUUCGGUGAUGCGGCGUGUCCCGGGCGAGGUCCGCGCUUCGGCAAGGAUGUUGGCGUAAUGGUUGCCAGCGGCCCGUCUUGAAACACGGACCAAGGAGUCUAACAUCUAUGCGAGUGUUCGGGUGUCAAACCCCUACGCGUAAUGAAAGUGAACGGAGGUGGGAGCUUCGGCGCACCAUCGACCGAUCCUGAUGUCCUCGGAUGGAUUUGAGUAAGAGCAUAGCUGUUGGGACCCGAAAGAUGGUGAACUAUGCCUGAAUAGGGUGAAGCCAGAGGAAACUCUGGUGGAGGCUCGCAGCGGUUCUGACGUGCAAAUCGAUCGUCAAAUUUGGGUAUA